GGGGAAUAUUGCACAAUGGGGGAAACCCUGAUGCAGCGACGCCGCGUGAGUGAUGAAGUAUUUCGGUAUGUAAAACUCUAUCAGCAGGGAAGAUAAUGACGGUACCUGACUAAGAAGCACCGGCUAAAUACGUGCCAGCAGCCGCGGUAAUACGUAUGGUGCAAGCGUUAUCCGGAUUUACUGGGUGUAAAGGGAGCGUAGACGGAUGGACAAGUCUGAUGUGAAAGGCUGGGGCUCAACCCCGGGACUGCAUUGGAAACUGCCCGUCUUGAGUGCCGGAGAGGUAAGCGGAAUUCCUAGUGUAGCGGUGAAAUGCGUAGAUAUUAGGAAGAACACCGGUGGCGAAGGCGGCUUGCUGGACUGUUACUGACGCUGAGUCACGAAAGCGUGGGGAGCAAACAGGAUUAGAUACCCUGGUAGUCCACGCCGUAAACGAUGAGUGCUAGGUGUUGGCGAGGAAUCGUCGGUGCCGCAGCAAACGCAAUAAGCACUCCACCUGGGGAGUACGACCGCAAGGUUGAAACUCAAAGGAAUUGACGGGGACCCGCACAAGCGGUGGAGCAUGUGGUUUACUUUGAAGCAACGCGAAGAACCUUACCUAAACUUGACAUCCCGAUGACCAUCUAUGUAAUGUUGACUCUCUUCGGAGCAUCGGUGACAGGUGGUGCAUGGUUGUCGUCAGCUCGUGUCGUGAGAUGUUGGGUUAAGUCCCGCAACGAGCGCAACCCUUAUCGUUAGUAGCCAUCAUUAAGUUGGGCACUCUAGCGAGACUGCCGUGGAUAACACGGAGGAAGGUGGGGAUGACGUCAAAUCAUCAUGCCCCUUAUGUUUAGGGCUACACACGUGCUACAAUGGCUGUCACAAAGUGAAGCGAACCUGCGAAGGCAAGCCAACCACAAAAAGGCAGUCCCAGUUCGGAUUGUAGUCUGCAACUCGACUACAUGAAGUUGGAAUCGCUAGUAAUCGCGAAUCAGAAUGUCGCGGUGAAUACGUUCCCG
rnacentral:rRNA from 1 species